rnacentral:rRNA from 1 species
CGCGUAGGCGGCCAUGUAAGUCAGAUGUGAAAGCCCGGGGCUCAACCCAGGAAGUGCAUUUGAAACUGCCAUACUUGAGUAUGGGAGAGGAGAGUGGAAUUCCCAGUGUAGAGGUGAAAUUCGUAGAUAUUGGGAGGAACACCCGUGGCGAAGGCGACUCUCUGGACCAAUACUGACGCUGAGACGCGAAAGCGUGGGGAGCAAACA